rnacentral:lncRNA from 1 species
AGAGGCGGCUUAGGCCUGCCCUGUGGAGCAUCCCUGCGGGGUACUCCGGCCAGCCUGAGUGACGCGAUCCAAAGAGCACUCUCAGGGAGGCAAUUGCCCUGGUGGAAUGCCUCGCCAGAGCAGCAUAUAGCAGGCCCCCGCUGAGGAUUAGCACAGUGGCUGAACACCGGGAAGGAACUGGUACUUGGCACUGGGAGUCCGGACAUCCGAAAUUCGGCAAAAAGAUUGGCCUUUCAUUUCAGCCUGGGCUUGAAAUAUCAAACACAUUUCUGUGCCUAGCAGAUACUACUUUGAAAACAAGAUGAAAGCCAUGGAAUCUCCGAGAAAAAUGUACAUCUUACAGACUUUCAGUGAGUUCUGGAACACCAGGAACCUAGAGUCCACACGAAUGAACAGCAGUUUCCUAACCUAAUGCGAGAGACUUAAGAUUUCUUCUGCGUCCCAUGAUCUUCUAAUAAUUGUCUUCUUAGCAAGACUAGACACAGCUCCAAGAAAUGUGCACUACCAUGAAUGUCUUCCAGCUAUCUUCUAUGACAGCAUUUCCCAGUGCAUUCUGUGGAAUAAUGGUACAGGGUGAUGUUCUAUGAAGAAAAAUAAAUAUGGAAAGUAAUAUAUUCCACAGUCCGUACAUUAGAUUGCCUACACAACAGCAAUAUGCUGUAGUUUAAUAGGAUUUGAAUGAAUAAAAUUAAUGCUCACAGCUAUUUUCUUCUGCCGGCAAAUAUUUUUCUGACCAUAAUCUUGCUAAACAGAAUUCAUCUGAACUUAUGUUGUUGCCAACAAAUAUACGAACAAUUAUACCUAAUCAAAAACAAAAACCAAACUGAUGUUCAAGAAAAUUAAUCAUUUGCUUUGAAUAAAUCAGCUAUUAAGAAAGCUUACAUAAUUGAGUCUGACAGUGCCAAAUCAUGUCUGAGAUGAAACACUGCAUGAUACAUAAUCAAACAGAUAUUUGCAAGAGCUGUGGGUUGGGGGAGAGUGCAAAUGUUUCCCAGCACUCCUGUAUGUCAUGGGAGCACACAAUAAAACACUUGAAGAACUGCAAUAAUAAAAGGUUUAAAGAGCUGCAAUAAUAGGUUUUGCACACUGUAGUGGCUACUGAUACUGAGAACAUUUUAGAAGUUCAUCUCUAUCAUCUAAACACUACACACCACCACAAUCUAUUUAUUACGUCUUAAUAGGAAUUCUAUGCUAAUAUUUUAUCCCUUUGCAUCUGCUCUGUUUUACUAUUUGGGUCAUAUCUCUUGUUAGAAACAAUGUUUGACCCAUCUAUUCUCAAUACAAAUAAAAAGCUUUUAACACAUAAACAAGGUCAAUUUGUUCUGUUUGAAAGAUGGAGUAAUGGAACUAACUGUAAGAUAUGCAGUGUAAAAUUUAUUCCCAUUUCACCUUUAUAUGAGUAGAAAUGAGAGGUACUCAACCAAAAUAUGCAUAACAAUUACGCUUUCUGUACUAGCCUUCAAAUAAAUACGUAUUUAUAC